GGGUGCUUAGCUCAGUUGGUAGAGUGUGUCCCUUACAAGGAUACUGUCAGCGGUUCGAGUCCGUUAGCACCUA
rnacentral:tRNA from 1 species